AUCGCUUCUCGGCCUUUUGGCUAAGAUCAAGUAUAGUAUGUAGAUUUCUCAUAAUAAUCUUUCUCCAUCUUUCAUCUGCAUGGCUAAUUAUAGAAAAAUCUGUUCUGUGGAAUAAGGAACAGUUUACCAAGU
rnacentral:snRNA from 1 species